rnacentral:rRNA from 1 species
UACGGAGGGUGCAAGCGUUGUCCGGAUUUAUUGGGUUUAAAGGGUGCGUAGGCGGCUGAUUAAGUCUGGGGUGAAGGCCCGUUGCUCAACAACGGAACUGCCCUGGAAACUGGUGAGCUUGAGGACAGACGAGGGCGGCGGAAUGGAAGGUGUAGCGGUGAAAUGCAUAGAUACCUUCCAGAACCCCGAUUGCGAAGGCAGCUGCCUAGACUGUACCUGACGCUGAGGCACGAAAGCGUGGGGAGCGAACAGG